GACGAACGCUGGCGGCGUGCCUAAUACAUGCAAGUUGAGCGAUGAAGAUUGGUGCUUGCACCAAUUUGAAGAGCAGCGCACGGGUGAGUAACGCGUGGGGAAUCUGCCUUUGAGCGGGGGACAACAUUUGGAAACGAAUGCUAAUACCGCAUAACAACUUUAAACAUAAGUUUUAAGUUUGAAAGAUGCAAUUGCAUCACUCAAAGAUGAUCCCGCGUUGUAUUAGCUAGUUGGUGAGGUAAAGGCUCACCAAGGCGAUGAUACAUAGCCGACCUGAGAGGGUGAUCGGCCACAUUGGGACUGAGACACGGCCCAAACGCCUACGGGAGGCAGCAGUAGGGAAUCGUCGGCCAGGGAUGAAAGUCUGACCGAGCAACGCCGCGGGAGUGAAGAAGGUUGUCGGAUCGUAAAACUCUGUUGGUAGGGAAGAACGUUGGUGAGAGUGGAAAGCUCAUCAAGUGACGGUAACUACCCAGAAAGGGACGGCUAACUACGUG
rnacentral:rRNA from 1 species